rnacentral:ncRNA from 1 species
UCCAUCGCGAGGUGGAAUCUAGAGGAAGCUGGAGGCAAAGCCUCGACCUGAGGUACACGAAUCGCAUCUGAGGCUGUUGCAGUCGGACGAGUUGCCCACAACAAAGUCCGAAGUCGCCAAGGGCUGUGGCAGUAAAUGCGGCGGGUGCAUGACAUGAGGGGAAAGAUUCCGUU